rnacentral:rRNA from 1 species
AGAGUUUGAUCCUGGCUCAGGAUGAACGCUGGCGGCGUGCCUAACACAUGCAAGUCGAACGAUUAAACCGCUUCGGCGGAUAUAGAGUGGCGAACGGGUGAGUAACACGUGACCAACCUGCCCCCCGCUCCGGGAUAACCAGGAGAAAUUCUGGCUAAUACCGGAUACUCCGGCCGGUCCGCAUGGGCCAACCGGGAAAGCCCAGACGGCGGGGGAUGGGGUCGCGGUCCAUUAGGUAGACGGCGGGGUAACGGCCCACCGUGCCUGCGAUGGAUAGCCGGGUUGAGAGACCGACCGGCCACAUUGGGACUGAGAUACGGCCCAGACUCCUACGGGAGGCAGCAGUGGGGAAUUUUGCGCAAUGGGGGCAACCCUGACGCAGCAACGCCGCGUGCGGGAUGACGGCCUUCGGGUUGUAAACCGCUUUCAGCAGGGAAGACCAUGACGGUACCUGCAGAAGAAGCUCCGGCUAAAUACGUGCCAGCAGCCGCGGUAAUACGUAUGGAGCGAGCGUUAUCCGGAUUCAUUGGGCGUAAAGCGCGCGUAGGCGGCGCUUCAAGCGGAACCUCUAAUCCAAGGGCUCAACCCAUGGCCGGGUUCCGAACUGGGGCGCUCGAGUGCGGUAGGGGCAAGUGGAAUUCCCGGUGUAGCGGUGGAAUGCGCAGAUAUCGGGAAGAACACCGAUGGCGAAGGCAGCUUGCUGGGCCGCCACUGACGCUGAGGCGCGAAAGCUAGGGGAGCGAACAGGAUUAGAUACCCUGGUAGUCCUAGCCGUAAACGAUGGGCACUAGGUGUGGGGGGCUCCGCCCUCCGUGCCGCAGCUAACGCAUUAAGUGCCCCGCCUGGGGAGUACGGCCGCAAGGCUAAAACUCAAAGGAAUUGACGGGGACCCGCACAAGCAGCGGAGCAUGUGGCUUAAUUCGAAGCAACGCGAAGAACCUUACCGGGGCUUGACAUGCAGGUGAAGCCGGGGAAACCCGGUGGCCGAGAGGAGCCUGCGCAGGUGGUGCAUGGCUGUCGUCAGCUCGUGUCGUGAGAUGUUGGGUUAAGUCCCGCAACGAGCGCAACCCCUGUCGCAUGUUGCCAGCAUUAAGUUGGGGACUCAUGCGAGACUGCCGGCGUCAAGCCGGAGGAAGGUGGGGAUGACGUCAAGUCAUCAUGCCCCUUAUGUCCCGGGCUGCACACGUGCUACAAUGGUCGGUACAACGGGCUGCGACCGCGCGAGCGGAAGCGAAUCCCUCAAAGCCGGCCCCAGUUCGGAUCGCAGGCUGCAACCCGCCUGCGUGAAGUCGGAGUUGCUAGUAACCGCGGAUCAGCACGCCGCGGUGAAUACGUUCCCGGGUCUUGUACUCACCGCCCGUCA